rnacentral:rRNA from 1 species
CACGUAGGGGGCGAGCGUUGUUCGGAAUUACUGGGCGUAAAGGGCAUGUAGGCGGCCUUGUAAGCCUGGCGUGAAAGUCCACAGCUUAACUGUGGGAUUGCGUUGGGAACUAGAUGACUAGAGUUACGGAGAGGGAGCUAGAAUUCCUGGUGUAGGGGUGGAAUCUGUAGAGAUCAGGAAGAAUACCGAUGGCGAAGGCAAGCUCCUGGCCGAUGACUGACGCUGAGGUGCGAAAGUGUGGGGAUCAAACAGGAUUAGAAACCCCAGUAGU